rnacentral:rRNA from 1 species
GUCUACGGCCAUACCACCCUGAACGUGCCCGAUCUCAUCUGAUCUCGGAAGCUAAGCAGGGUCGGGCCUGGUUUGUACUUGGAUGGGAGAAUAGAGUCUAGAAGUAAGUCUCAAGCAACUGCCUGGGGCCCUGCUCC